rnacentral:rRNA from 1 species
UGGGGAAUAUUGCACAAUGGGCGCAAGCCUGAUGCAGCAACGCCGCGUGAGGGACGACGGCCUUCGGGUUGUAAACCUCUUUUGGCAGGGAAGAAGCGAAAGUGACGGUACCUGCAGAAAAAGCACCGGCUAACUACGUGCCAGCAGCCGCGGUGAUACGUAGGGUGCAAGCGUUGUCCGGAAUUAUUGGGCGUAAAGAGCUCGUAGGCGGUUUGUCGCGUCUGCUGUGAAAACCCGAGGCUCAACCUCGGGCCUGCAGUGGGUACGGGCAAACUAGAGUGCGGUAGGGGAGAUUGGAAUUCCUGGUGUAGCAGUGGAAUGCGCAGAUAUCAGGAGGAACACCGAUGGCGAAGGCAGAUCUCUGGGCCGUAACUGACGCUGAGGAGCGAAAGCAUGGGGAGCGAACA